UUGACCGCCUUCAGCUCCUCCUGCAGCCGCGCCACGUUGUUCUCGUCCGGCAGCGAGCUGUUCCUCUGCGGGGCGAAAGGAGGUCAGAUCCCGGGGCAGCUGAGGCCGGGCGGCCCCGACCGAGACCCCUCCGUCACGUCUCCUCUGAGCCCCACCUUGGGCACCCCGCGGGGAGACCGUGCCCCGGGCACCCCAGGAGACACCCGUGCGGCCCCGGGGAGAGAGCCUCAGAAGGUUCGGCCUGCGGAAGGGGUGUGGAGAGCGCCUGCUCUCACUGGACUGUCUCAGGGUGACCCCCUGACGCCGGCUUCUGGGUGGACGUUACUGCUAAUAACACCAGGCAGGCUGGGCAAGGGUGGGCGCCUCCCAUCCUGGGAACCUGCGAUCCGCCCCCUGCGGCCCCUGAUCACACUUGGGACCUGCCCCAGCGGCAGCUGAGACCAUGGGUGGCCCCUCCCUGUAGAUGCUCCUUGCCCCGCCAGACCCCAGGCUAGGCAGCCCCUCCCUCGGGAACAGGCUGAGGGCCAGCUUAGGCCCGGCCUCCAGCGUUCCAAGGGCUCAGUGAUGAGGGACUGUGCUCCAGCCAGAUCGGAAUCUGGCUUGCUACUGGGGGUCCUCACUGACCCUUGUUUGAGUGUGGGAGUUGUUGGGGGUGGUGUUGGGGGCAGGGUCUCCUGGGCUUAUUUCCCUUUGAUGUGGAGGCAGGUGGGAGGGAAACCCAGCUCUGGGCCGGCUGAUGGGGACUGAGAAGCCCAUGGAUGGGGCAGAGACACCCCACCUGGAAGGGCACCCCAAAUAUGGCAGGCUUGAGAGGAGGGAGGUCUAGUUCCUGCCUUGUGUGAGUGGGUCCUGCUGCCCCCUGCUGGCCGGGGCACCUCUCUUCCAGAGGCUUUGCAGGAGCUGAGUCAAUAGGGAGUCGGGACAGCAGUUGAGCUCUGCCCAGGAGGUCUGGGGCCCCCUUCAGGAUAGCAGGCUCCAGGAGAGGGUGGUCCCAGUACAACCCCUGGGUGGUAUCUCUCUGGGGGUGGGGAAGGGGAGAGCAACCCUGAUGGGCCUUGGCCUUCCCUCCCAACUCCAUCCCCGAUCCCAGGGAGGGAGACACACACACACAGGUGGGGCUGUCUGCCCAGGAAGCCCAUGGACGCCACCACACCGCUGGCCUGGGGCACGAGGAGCCCCCAGCGUCUCCGUCUCCCGCAGCCUCGACUGCUCCAGCUCGGUCUCCAGGAAGGCAUGGGGAAAGUCUGCUGGGAUCCCUUUCUUGUUCAGUGCCCAGAAGGUACCCCGUGGGGGCCCGGGGAGGGGGGUGCGUGCGGACAACGACAAGAGCUUUGCUCAAGACAACGAAGACCUGGCUGGUGGGUGAGGGAGGCCCCUUAAAGGCUGGAGCUCAGGGGGCGGCAUGGGAAGGUCUCCCUGGCCUGGAAGCGGGCAUCGCGCCAGGGUUGGGAUGAGCCCAACCUUGGUUUCCCCAUGGGCCAUGCCGCCGCUGGCAGGUUAUCAAAUAAGGAAGGUGGCCUGGGUGCAGCUGAAGGAAAAUCCCGAAUCCACGUGCUGGAGAAGUGGGAUCUUCAGAGUGCUCUGGCCUGAGGGCCCGCCUCCCAGGAUGCAGAGGUCCUGACUCCACAGCACAACCCGGGCCGCCCCCACACCCCCACUCUGCCAGCUGAGAGUGGUGGGCACAGACCAGACCCUCUUCUGGGGGCAAAGUGCUGGGCUCUGGAGUGGGAAGCCCCCCCCACCGUCUCUCAUGCUAGCUCCAACCCUGCAUAGCCGGCUCCUGGGGAAGGCUGACAGCCCUGGGGACACUCCAGGGCU